UACAGAGGAGCCAAGCGUUGUCCGGAAUCAUUGGGCGUAAAGAGCGUGUAGGCGGUCCGGUAAGUCGGCUGUGAAAGUCCAGGGCUCAACCCUGGGAUGCCGGUCGAUACUGCCGGACUAGAGUUCGGAAGAGGCGAGUGGAAUUCCCGGUGUAGCGGUGAAAUGCGUAGAGAUCGGAAAGAACACCAAUGGCGAAAGCACUCUGCUGGGCCGACACUGACACUGAGAGACGAAAGCUAGGGGAGCAAAUGGG
rnacentral:rRNA from 1 species